AACCGGAUCUAGGCACCCAGCUCAAGACACCCUCCUGGGAGAAGGGUAGUUGCCAGACAGAGCUCUGCAGAUCUUCCAUGGACAGGCUGUUGCCAUUGGGGGAGCUUACAUUGACAAAAGUUUUCUGGUGAUGAAAGCAUGACAGUAGCUGCUAGAAUGAAACCUGACUCUUCUAAAGAGCAACAGAAACUCCUUCCACAGUUAAUAAACAAAUUUUAUUAAACAACUUAAUAAUUAC